rnacentral:lncRNA from 1 species
UUGUUCAAGCCUCUACACAGGGCAACCUGAACCCUAAGAAAGUUGGUGCGGCUAUUUCUGAUGACAGAUACCAGGGAGAGUGAAGUCAGCCCCUCUUACUGUUGUUUUUGAACUAUUCGCCAUCAUCACUCAUUCUUGGGAGGCAGACCUGUGUGUACUACAAGUUAUUCUUACACCUCUUAAACUAGUUCACUGAUCUCAGCUGUGGUAGAGAAUGCUUUCUCAUGAUCCACGUUGAAGAACAAAUGACAGUGAUUCUCACUAGUACUUCUUGUUCGCUGUCUUAGGCAUGAAAAUACCUCGGACCACCUCUGCUGCACAUAACAGAACUGUUCCCAGAAAUAUACCUAAACAGCAGGUGACAGUUACUGAUGCCAGUUUGAAGACCACUUCCCACCUUGAUCAUGCAAAGAUAGUGUUGGCAAAAUGUAGCCCAUCAGAUCUAGUUGAACCGCAUCAUUCAUUGUGUAUUAUAAUAGGCGUAGUCUUCUGAGAAGGUCUCUCAUUGUUCCCACGAAAAGACAUGGGAGGUGUGAAAAAAAUGUCAGUCAUUUGUUAAGUUUGCCUUAGUAGAGUGCCCACAGAAAUCUGUGUCUGUCCUCUUUCAUUUUCUUUUAUGGAUUUCAGCAAGAACUGUGUGCCAGAUAUGUCUCAUGAGCUUAACCUAGGCAGUAAUUGGACCACUUUUCAGUUUCUCAAAUACCUUUUAUACAUCUUAUAGGUGAAAUCAUACAACUGUAAAAUAAUCUUUAACUCCCUUCUCUGUACACCAUUUGACAAAAUAAGGUUGCUUUGACCUGUUACACUCUGUGUCUAUGAACCAACCAUUCAGAAACUUAAUAAGACUGCUUUUGGGAGAAAAAUCAUUUUCCCACUUGCUUAGUUACGCAAGCAGGAAGACCAUCUCCCUCUGCACACCCAUUCCUGGGCUUAAUUAUGCAUACUUAUGUGGAUUCAUUGUGCAUACAUAUCUCAUUGAAAUGUAGGUCUUCAGUCCACAUAGGUCUGUAUAAGAAUUCAGCCCCAGACUUGGGGCAUUUCAGUGACAAGGUCCUACAACAAAGGAGGUUUCUAGUGAAUUCUUCAAAGAUUCUGGUUUCUUGGGGGACAAUCUGGCAUGUUGAUGCAUGUUAACCAUUUGUUCCUGCUUCCAGCUGGAAAGAGUUAAACAAACCAGAGACUUUCUGCUUAGGGUUUGUUUGCCCAUCUAAAUCCAGCAGAAACUGUCAAUUUGGAUUUUUUUUUUGUCCCCCACAGCAACCUGGAGAAAUAACCCCAGAAAAAACAAUGAUGAGAAAAACCGUCAUGCCAACCCUUGCUGAGUUCAUAUGUCAUGCUAGAAAACCAUACUUGGAAGAUCCAUGAUUUGUUUAGCUGCUCUGCAAGCUAGCCCAUCAGGCCGUCUGGUCCAAAAUGCUGCUACACCUGAUUAUGAUGUCUGAUCCCAGUCACUGUUUUCUAGAUCCGAAAGCACUAACUUUGACUUGAGGUGC